CGCGUAGGCGGCGUAUCAAGUUGGGUGUGAAAGCCCUGGGCUCAACCCGGGAUGUGCACUCAAGACUGGUAUGCUAGAGGAUGGGAGAGGAUGGUGGAAUUCCCAGUGUAGAGGUGAAAUUCGUAGAUAUUGGGAAGAACACCGGUGGCGAAGGCGGCCAUCUGGACCAUUUCUGACGCUGAGGCGCGAAAGCGUGGGGAGCAAACA
rnacentral:rRNA from 1 species